AUUGAACGCUGGCGGCAGGCCUAACACAUGCAAGUCGAGCGAGCGGCGGACGGGUGAGUAAUGUCUGGGAAACUGCCUGAUGGAGGGGGAUAACUACUGGAAACGGUAGCUAAUACCGCAUACCAUCAGAUGUGCCCAGAUGCGAUUAGCUAGUAGGUGGGGUAACGGCUCACCUAGGCGACGAUCCCUAGCUGGUCUAAGAGGAUUACCAGUAAAACUGGAAAGGGAACACGGUGCAGACUCCUACGGGAGGCAGCAGUAGGGAAUAUUGCACAAGGGGCGCAAGGCUGAUGCAGCCAUGGCGCGUGUAUGAAGAAGGCCUUCGGGUGGUAAAGUACUUUCAGCGGGGAGGCGGGACACGGAGAAGAAGCACCGGCUAAAUCCGUGCCAGCAGCCGCGGUAAUUG
rnacentral:rRNA from 1 species